rnacentral:rRNA from 1 species
AUUGAACGCUGGCGGCAGGCCUAACACAUGCAAGUCGAGCGAGCGGCGGACGGGUGAGUAAUGUAUGGGGACUGCCCGAUAGAGGGGGAUAACUACUGGAAACGGUAGCUAAUACCGCAUACUAUCCGAUACCCCAUAUGGGAUUAGCUAGUAGGUGAGGUGAUGGCUCACCUAGGCGACGAUCCCUAGCUGGCCUGAGAGGAUGAUCAGCGCCACUGGGACUUGGAGACGGCCCAGACACAAGGGGAGGAAGGGGAGGGGAAGAUUGCACAAAGGGGGCAAGCCUGGUGCAGGAAUGCAGAGUGUAUGAAGAAGGCCCUAGGGAUGUAAAGUACUUUCAGUCGGGGGAGGUUGACGACAGCAGAAGAAACGGAUAACACCGUGCCAGCAGCCGCGGUAAUUC